GGUCAAGUUAUUAAGGGUGCAGGGCGGAUGCCUUGGCACUAGGAGCCGAUGAAGGACGUGAUAAGCUGCGAUAAGCUUCGGGGAGUUGCACGUAAACUUUGAUCCGAAGAUUUCCGAAUGAGGAAACUCACUUAGAGUAAUGUCUAAGUAUCAUUAAGUGAAUACAUAGCUUAAUGAGGGGAACUCAGGGAACUGAAACAUCUAAGUACCUGAAGGAAGAGAAAGAAAUUCGAUUCCGUAAGUAGCGGCGAGCGAACGCGGAUUAGCCCAAACCAAUAA
rnacentral:rRNA from 1 species